rnacentral:rRNA from 1 species
UUAAAUUGAAGAGUUUGAUCAUGGCUCAGAUUGAACGCUGGCGGCAGGCCUAACACAUGCAAGUCGAACGGUAACAGGAAGAAGCUUGCUUCUUUGCUGACGAGUGGCGGACGGGUGAGUAAUGUCUGGGAAACUGCCUGAUGGAGGGGGAUAACUACUGGAAACGGUAGCUAAUACC